rnacentral:lncRNA from 1 species
UAACUGUGGCAGAGGAGCUACUCUCCGUCAAACCUAUGCCAAUGCACACCCCUUGGUCCAAGCUACUGCUGGACAUUGCAGACCCGACUUGAUAACGACUGGAUAAGCAUAUCGAUGUUUCCGUUGAUCGACUUUUUUCAUCGCUCGUUUUUGCUGAUCCUUGAUUAUUUGUAAUUGAACUUGGACCUGGCUCCUCAUCUGAACUUUCGUCACAAAGUGACUCAAAUGGAUAUCGCCUAUAAAUGUAUAAGAUGGGUGCAGAUGACUUACAAAACAAUUGAAGUUGCUGGAAUCUGAACCACUUAUCCAUCAAACCUAAAAAAACAUUUGAAUGCCAUCUUCGAAGUUUUCGAAAGUGAAAACUGAUUUCAGAACUAGUAAAAAAGUUCUCAUCAUUUCGAGUUGCAGCAGUGAAAAGAACACAACGAAAAAUGAUGGAAGAAACGUUUAAAACGUAUACAUCUUAUUCUCGUACAAUCGAUCAGGAGACUAAUUAAUUCAAUAAAAAUACGAUUUUUAUUUGAUUACAUUACAUGAGCAAAUUUCGUUGUUUGUAAAUUCCCUGUACAUAAUUACAAUGAUGUAUAUAUAUUCCCUAAGCCCGUGUAUAUUAAAAUAUAUUUUUCAAAAAACUAAUACUAUCGAUACAAAUAAUGUUGCCCAUUAACUAUACACACAUAUAAGUACCUAUAUCUUUGAUUAGAUUUUUUUGUUAAUACUUG